UCCCUCAUUUUGGCUCAGGAGCGGCACAGUGCUGUCAUUGUGCUGGGCUGGAGGCUGGAGCCCUACCAUGGAGAGGUCCUGGGCGUUGGCGUGGAGCUGAGGCCAGGCCAGGGUUUCCAGCGAGCGUACGAUGGAACUGCAGGCUCUCUCUUCCCGCUGGGCCCGAGACAGGAUCUGAUCAUCCACCUGCAUCAGCUGGCCCACAUACUCCAUGAACUUUGACAUCAUCUGGGCCACGUAGAGCACAUCCACUGUGUCGGUGAAGCCGGCUGCCUCCAGGGUGUACGUUCGCACCUGGUGUGCCAGGGUGCCUGCGUUAGAGGCAUUGAUGGGCAUCUGCCAAUCAAAGAGGGGAAGGGCGCUGCACAGGACUGUCCCACAGAUGCUUUACUGAGUAGCAGAAGGGAAAAGGGGGAAAUACCAGCCCUAAGCACCCCAAAACUCCCUAGUGGGGAGAAAAAACCUCAAACAGUGGCGAGAAAAAAGAUG